GUAAAGUUCUGUUGCAGGGGAAGAUAAUGACGGUACCCUGUGAGGAAGCCCCGGCUAACUACGUGCCAGCAGCCGCGGUAAUACGUAGGGGGCUAGCGUUAUCCGGAUUUACUGGGCGUAAAGGGUGCGUAGGUGGUCCUUCAAGUCGGUGGUUAAAGGCUACGGCUCAACCGUAGUAAGCCGCCGAAACUGGAGGACUUGAGUGCAGGAGAGGAAAGUGGAAUUCCCAGUGUAGCGGUGAAAUGCGUAGAUAUUGGGAGGAACACCAGUAGCGAAGGCGGCUUUCUGGACUGCAACUGACACUGAGGCACGAAAGCGUGGGUAGACAAACAGGAUUAGAUACCCUGGUAG
rnacentral:rRNA from 1 species